rnacentral:rRNA from 1 species
CCAAUAGCGUACAUUAAAGUUGUUGCAGUUAAAAAGCUCGUAGUUGAAUUUCAGGCCUGGCUGGACGGUCCGCCCUUCGGGUGAGUACUGUCUGUGGUCGGGUCCUACCUUCUGGCGAAGCGUCAUGGCCUUAACCGGCCGUGGCGGGGAACCAGGACUUUUACUGUGAAAAAAUUAGAGUGUUCAAAGCAGGCAAUCGCUUGGAUACAUUAGCAUGGAAUAAUGGAAUAGGACAAUGGUUCUAUUUGUUGGUUUCUAGGACCGUUGUAAUGAUUAAUAGGGAUAGUUGGGGGCAUUAGUAUUCAAUUGUCAGAGGUGAAAUUCUUGGAUUUAUUGAAGACUAACUACUGCGAAAGCAUUUGCCAAGGAUGUUUUCAUUAAUCAAGAACGAAAGUUAGGGGAUCGAAGACGAUCAGAUACCGUCGUAGUCUUAACCAUAAACUAUGCCGACUAGGGAUCGGACGCAGUUAAUUUUAUAAUGACGUGUUCGGCACCUUACG